UGGAAACCACGAAGUAGUUUCAGCUUCCUCUCACAACAAAACAUAAAAACAUUCUUCCAUUCCUACCUUGAAAAGGAGAAAAUUCAGGAUUUGUGGAACUGUAGUCACAUUCAAGUUUCAUUGAUGAAUUUACAGAGCACGUUCUGUCCAUAAUAACUGAACAUAAUUUUGCCAAAUUUUGGAAAAAAUAAUGUGAUUAUAUAUUCAAAAAGCAAACAUUGCUAUCACCUUUUAGAAACCAAAACCACAGGAGAAUUCAGAGUGAAAGGAAUGAGAGACUUUUCUUUACAAACGAACUGUGGAUCUGCUGGUAAAUGGAGCUAGAUACUGAGAGAUAAAGGAAACAAUGGGAAGAAUUUUACUGACUCUUGAGUGGAAUGAGAGAGAUUUGUCUUCACAAACUGCAGGUCUGCUGAUAAAUAAAACUGGAUACUGAGAGAUGAUAGAAACAACGGGAAGAACCAUAAAUUCCAUAAGGAAUUCCACUGAUUGACACAAGGAAAAGACAAAGCCAGGACAGAGCCCUUCACACUCUGUGUUUUGGUUGUGUAAACAGCAGGGAGAGUCUGACACUCCGUCACACCAAGCCAGAAAGAUGCUGCUUUUCAGGCCGGGAGAUUGCCUUUCUCCAUCUCAGAAGAGAGAACCUCCUAAGACUUUUUCACCAUGAAAAAUUCAUUCCACUAUCCUGGCACAUUGCAUCAGGAGCUCUGACAAUUUUCCCUUGGGACUGCAAGUCCUUCCUUGGGCAGGCAAGGCUCUUCCAUUUAGGAGAGUUCUCAGCACUGAUCCUUCUCUGCAAAUCUACUGCAAAUAAGUAUGCUAAAAACUCCAUGGUGUCAAUCAGCUUGGAUCUAGAAAAGCAGAAGCACUUUGAAGGCUUCUUUAAGUUUAAAAAUGUGGUUUCUCAGGGAGUGAGCUCUCCAGACUUUUUUAGUCCUGAACUAUUUUCUUCUAUACUAAAUUUAUUUCAACAUACCUAUAUAACCACAUAUUCAGACAUGAAAUGUAGAAAGGAAUAUAUUUUAGCUAUUAGAAUUGUUUUAUACCUGAAAUAUUUGGUUUCAGUAAAUACAAAAUUAAAAAUGAGACUUCAAGAGUAGCACAGAA